rnacentral:misc_RNA from 1 species
GUCCCUUGAAUUUUUUUUUUCAAAAGAUAACUUAAUGCUCUAUAACUGCAUUCUAGAAUCCUUUCUAAAUCGAAUUGUGCUGCUUUUCUAAAUUGAUUAGUGUUGCUUUCCAUAAGAUAUUAAGAUUGAUGACCAUUUCUACUCGUUUAAUUUUAGUGUUGUGGCCUUGUUUGAAAUGACAGUUGUGGUUAGUUAUUGAUAGUUAGUAUUCAAAUAUCCUCUUUUAGUCUCUUAGCAACUCUAAAGUUCUUCCUAUUUUAUCUAACUUCUUCAUUUAUGUAUUUGAGGUUUAUAUUAUUGAUUGAUAAUGUUGAAAUAGAUGUUAGAAAACUGGCCUAUAGAGAAUAGCCAAUAGAGCCCAACUCUAUUGGUCAUGCAUCAAAUGAGACACAUUGGUGAACUAUUCAAACUACUAAUUGAGGGGAAUUUUAUUAAUUUCAGUUGGAGCUGGAUUACACUGAAUAUUACUUACAUAGUUUAUGUUAGAAAAGAUACGA